UCGGCAAUGGGGGAAACCCUGACCGAGCGACGCCGCGUGCGGGAUGAAGGCCUUCGGGUUGUAAACCGCUGUCGUAGAGGAGGAAAUGCAGGGGGGUUCUCCCUUCUGUUUGACCUAUUCUAGGAGGAAGUACGGGCUAAGUUCGUGCCAGCAGCCGCGGUAAGACGAACCGUACAAACGUUACUCGGAAUUACUGGGCUUAAAGGGUGCGUAGGCUGCGCGGAAAGUUGGGUGUGAAAGCCCUCAGCUCAACUGAGGAAUUGCACUCAAAACUACCGUGCUCGAGGGAGACAGAGGUAAGCGGAACUCAAGGUGGAGCGGUGAAAUGCGUUGAUAUCUUGAGGAACACCGGUGGCGAAGGCGGCUUACUGGGUCUCUUCUGACGCUGAGGCACGAAAGCUAAGGUAGCAAACGGGAUUAGAUACCCCGGUAGUCCUAGCCGUAAACACUGAACACUGGAGGGGAGGGGGUUCGCCCUUUUCCUUCGUAGCGAAAGCGUUAAGUGUUCCGCCUGGGGAGUAUGGUCGCAAGGCUGAAACUCAAAGG
rnacentral:rRNA from 1 species